rnacentral:rRNA from 1 species
GACGAACGCUGGCGGCGUGCUUAACACAUGCAAGUCGAACGGAAAGGCCCUGCUUGCAGGUUACUCGAGUGGCGAACGGGUGAGUAACACGUGGGUGAUCUGCCCUUCACUUCGGGAUACGCCUGGGAACCUGGGUCUAUUACCGGUUAGUCGCCAUUUUUAGUGUGAUGGUUGUACAGUUUUUUCGGUGUAGGAUGAGCUCGCGGCCUAUCAGCUUGUUGGUGGGGUAAUGGCCUACCAAGGCGGCGACGGGUAGCCGGCCUGAGAGGGUGGACGGCCACAUUGGGACUGAGAUACGGCCCAGACUCCUACGGGAGGAAGCAGUGGGGAAGAUUGCACAAGGGGCGCAAGCCUGAUGCAGCGACGCCGCGGGGGGGAUGACGGUCUUCGGGGUGUAAACGCCUUUCGCUAGGGACGAAGCUUUUUGUGACGGUACCUAGAUAAGAAGCACCGGCUAACUACGUG